AGAGUUUGAUCAUGGCUCAGGAUGAACGCUAGCUACAGGCUUAACACAUGCAAGUCGAGGGGCAGCAUGUUGGUUGCUUGUCAACCAACGAUGGCGACCGGCGCACGGGUGAGUAACGCGUAUCCAACCUACCCUUGUCCAUCGGAUAACCCGUCGAAAGGCGGCCUAACACGAUAUGCGGUUCACGGCAGGCAUCUAAGGUGAACGAAAUGUGAAGGAGAAGGAUGGGGAUGCGUCUGAUUAGCUUGUUGGCGGGGUAACGGCCCACCAAGGCUACGAUCAGUAGGGGGUUCUGAGAGGAAGGUCCCCCACAUUGGAACUGAGACACGGUCCAAACUCCUACGGGAGGCA
rnacentral:rRNA from 1 species